ACGCCGGACGCGAUUCGACAACGCGACGCGAUUUUUCAAAAACUGAAAAAUCGCGUCGCGUUGUCGAAUCGCGUCCGGUGU